rnacentral:misc_RNA from 1 species
GAUGAAGAACGUAGUGAAAUGCGAUACGUAAUGUGAAUUGCAGAAUUCAGUGAAUCAUCGAAUCUUUGAACGCAUAUUGCGCUCUCUGGUAUUCCGGAGAGCAUGCUUGUUUGAGUAUCAGUAAACACUUCAACUUCCAUAUCUUUUUUGAAAUGGGAGUUGGACUUGAGUGAUCCCAACGCUUUUCCUCACCGAAAAGCGGCGGGUUACUUGAAAUGCAGGUGCAGCUGGACUUUUCUCUGAGCUAUAAGCAUAUCUAUUUAGUCUGCCUAAAAAACAGAUUAUUACCUUUGCUGCAGCUAACAUAAAGGAGAUUAGUUCUUGUGCUGACUGAUGCAGGAUUCACAAAGACAGGCUUCGGCCGACUUUGUAAACUCGAUCUCAAAUCAAGUAAGACUACCCGCUGAACUUAAGCAUAUCAAUAAGCGGAGGA